UUUUGAGGUGGGCCUCUGGUCACAAUGCUCUCAUUGUGGUCAUUGUGAGAAGAUGUUGACAAUUCCUGACUAGAGGUGAUGGGAAUUGGCACUGUUGAAAGUUCCUGUGGAGAAGAUGUAACUGAGGCUUCUGUGGCAGUAACAGAAGAGCUUUGGAUAAUGUCUGAAGCUGUGCUUCCAGGAGCAGAUUCUGUAGAGAGUGCCACGGAGGGCACCUCUGAUGUGCUUGGGAUUGUGUUGGUGACUGCAGAAAUGGAGGGGACAGUUGUUUCAUCUGGAGAGGAAAUCCCAUGGGACACCGUUUCUGCUGCAGUUGAGCCAAUGGUGGAAAGUGAAAGAGAUGAUGUGGUCACCUCGGUGACUGUGCUUUGACCUGUGCUGCUGGUCUCUGUGUUCCUAGGGAGGUCUUUCUGAGAUGUUGACAAUUCUCUAGUAGCGGUGAUAGGUGAUGUCACUGUUGACAGGACAUUUGGUGAAUUAGUCAUGAAGACAUCAGUAUUGACAGGUACGGAACUUUGAGAAUAAGAUGGUGAUGUGGUCUCAGUAUUCCUUGAGGUGGAAUCUGUAGAGAAUGCUGCCGUUGACACCUCUGAUAUGGUUGGUUUGGUGCUGGUGACACUGGAGGUAGAGUGGUUGGGUGUUUCUUUUGGAGUUGAUGUCCCCUGGGACGUUGUCUGUGCAGGAGGUGAGCCACUUGGGGAAGGAGAAAAACGUGAUGUGGUCACCAUUGUAAGUGUAAUCUGAGGUGUGCUGCUGGUCUCCAUGCUUCCAGUGUGGAGGCUCUGAGAAGCCUCAGUAGCAGUGAUGGGUGUUGUCCCCACUGACAGGACAUUUGUGGAACUUGUUAUUGACACAUCAGAAUUGACAGGUGUGGAACUUGGAGAAACUGUUGGAGAUGUGAUUCCUGUAUUUCCUGAGGAGGACUCUA